rnacentral:tRNA from 1 species
UAUUCGUUGUGUUGUAACAGAAACAG